rnacentral:rRNA from 1 species
GUGCCAGCCGCCGCGGUAAAACCAGCACCUCAAGUGGUCAGGAUGAUUAUUGGGCCUAAAGCAUCCGUAGCCUGUUCUGUAAGUUUCCGGUUAAAUCCAUUAGCUCAACUAAUGGGCUGCCGAAAAUACUGCAGAACUAGGGAGUGGGAGAGGUAGACGGUACUCGGUAGGAAGGGGUAAAAUCCUUUGAUCUAUUGAUGACCACCUGUGGCGAAGGCGGUCUACCAGAACACGUUCGACGGUGAGGGAUGAAAGCUGGGGGAGCAAACCGGAUUAGAUACCCGGGUAGUCCCAGCUGUAAACGAUGCAGACUCGGUGAUGCGCUGGCUUGUGGCCAGUGCAGUGCCGCAGGGAAGCCGUUAAGUUUGCCGCCUGGGAAGUACGUACGCAAGUAUGAAACUUAAAGGAAUUGGCGGGGGAGCACCACAAGGGGUGAAGCCUGCGGUUCAAUUGGAGUCAACGCCAGAAAUCUUACCCGAAGAGACAGCAGAAUGAAGGUCAAGCUGGAGACUUUACCAGACAAGCUGAGAAGUGGUGCAUGGCCGUCGCCAGCUCGUGCCGUGAGAUGUCCUGUUAAGUCAGGUAACGAGCGAGAUCCCUGCCUCUAGUUGCCACCAUUACUCUCCGGAGUAGUGGGGCGUAUUAGCGGGACCGCCGUAGUUAAUACGGAGGAAGGAAGGGGCCACGGCAGGUCAGUAUGCCCUGAAACUUUGGGGCCACACGCGGGCUGCAAUGGUAACGACAAUGGGUUCCGAAUCCGAAGGGUGGAGGUAAUCCUCAAACGUUACCACAGUUAUGAUUGAGGGCUGCAACUCGCCCUCAUGAAUAUGGAAUCCCUAGUAACUGCGUGUCAUUAUCGCGCGGUGAAUACGUCCCUGCUCCUUGCACACACCGCCCGUC